GACGAACGCUGGCGGCGUGCUUAACACAUGCAAGUCGAACGGAAAGGCCCUGCUUUUGUGGGGUGCUCGAGUGGCGAACGGGUGAGUAACACGUGAGUAACCUGCCCUUGACUUUGGGAUAACUUCAGGAAACUGGGGCUAAUACCGGAUAGGAGCUCCUGCUGCAUGGUGGGGGUUGGAAAGUUUCGGCGGUUGGGGAUGGACUCGCGGCUUAUCAGCUUGUUGGUGGGGUAGUGGCUUACCAAGGCUUUGACGGGUAGCCGGCCUGAGAGGGUGACCGGCCACAUUGGGACUGAGAUACGGCCCAGACUCCUACGGGAGGCAGCAGUGGGGAAUAUUGCACAAUGGGCGGAAGCCUGAUGCAGCAACGCCGCGUGCGGGAUGACGGCCUUCGGGUUGUAAACCGCCUUCGCCUGUGACGAAGCGUGAGUGACGGUAAUGGGUAAAGAAGCACCGGCUAACUACGUGC
rnacentral:rRNA from 1 species